rnacentral:sRNA from 2 species
CAGCCUUACCGCCGUUCCUUUUCCUCGGUUGUCUCUUCUGUCGGGAUUCGCGCGACCAAUGGAUUUAAUUAACCCUGCCAACAAACCGGAUUUUGGUUUCAAGCUGCGAAAGUCCUCGUUGACAAUAUCAAUAUCGGUCCCAUUAGUUUCUCAUGUGUUGCUAAGGGGAAAUAUAUGGAAAAUAUUGCCAGAGGCCUGGGAUAUCUAGUUCUCAAAUGGCACAGAAGAACUUCCUGGUCCUUAUUUGGUUUAAGAAUAUCAGGCUUCUUAUCAAUAUUUUAAGCUCUUGGGGUGGUAUUCUUCCGUAAAAAGGAUGCAGGAUGCAGCGAGUUGGCAAAAGGCAGAUAAAGAAUACGGACCGCAACCCAAUUGCGAACUUGAAGUUAUUUCACUCUGAUUUUUAGAGUUGACAUUGGAAAUACAGGAGAAACAGAGAAAGAGAGGAGAGGAAUCUUUCUCAUCACAUCUAGUGAACAUACCAGUAUCUUGGGCUGUGAUGUAGGACAGGGGACUUAGGAAAAGAGUGCAAAAUAAAAUCAGAUGAUGAAAACAAACACUAAAAUUAAGGAAAACAGAUGGAAUGCCCAGGUGCUACAUGGGUGAAAAUGGACAGAAUAACAAAAGGAACUAAAUGGAGCAAAAUUCGUCAAGCGUAUCGCCGUGAGAAAGGAAUAACCAUUCAAAAUCGCCCCUACAGUCCGUUUAUGGGAUCGAACUUCGAAUUGGAGACGUUGACAGAUAAAAAGAGAAUGGAAAAAGGAAAAAGGGGAAUGGGGAAUGAUGCCUUAAAAGAGCACGAAAAACCCAACUGGUUUCUAUCAAUCAAAAAGAAAUAAAAUAAAAUAAAAAACAGAAGAAAAAAAGGAUCCUAUCUAACUAACUACAACAUCUCCCGAUCAUCCAGCCAAUGCGCCCGUGCAAUUCCACAACCCAGAUACAUGGAAUUAUUCCGCUGCUCGAACGCGCCGUACUGAUUUUCCAUCGGUUGAAGUAGCAGUACUGCCUCCGACCCACCUUGCCCAUGUCCCUGUUGCUGGCCAUGCGCAUCCCACAAACCAUUGCCCUUGUACACGGGGUCAACGGCCGGUUUGUACGACGAGGAAGUUGACGUCGUGGCAGCAGCAGCUACAGAGGACUGUGACGCCUCUGCAAACCCAUGUCCGCACGCACUCCUGGCCGCUGAUGUGUCAUAUUCGCGCUGCGCGAGCGCCUCAUAGCCGGACAUGACAUAUGGUUCUGCGUGUUGACUGUCAUCCAGCCCAGUUGUGCUCCGCGCAUCCUGAUCCAUACAGUCCACGUCGAUCAUGGUGUCCCUGGCAGAUUGCAUGCGACUCGGCAAGGAAGACGAUGAAGUAGGGAUGACGCUGCCGCCGCUACCGCUGCAGCUGUCAAAUGGAUUCGCUUUCCGGACACUCGGUCGCGAAAUCUGCCAUAGCUCAAUUAGACGCGUCUUCUGCUCGACAUCUGCAUGCGCGAAGAGGGUCAGCUGCGACGGGAAGAGGGCAGUCGGGUCCACGUUGUUUUGGAACAGUAUUUCUUCCGCUGAGAUUCCGGCUUGCUGCAUGUCGUGCAGGGUUGCAGAAAGCGUCUUUGACCAGCCUCCUGAGCCAGGGAGCUGGUGUGCGGAGUGAUGGUAAUGCUGAGAUAUGUUGUAGGCUAUUGGGCGGGAGAUGGAGGGGG